rfam:Camelus ferus unplaced genomic scaffold scaffold1644, whole genome shotgun sequence.
GAGGGUAUAGCUCAAGCGGUAGAGCGCAUGCUUAGCAUGCACAAGGUCUGGGGUUCAAUCCUCAGUACCUCCU